rnacentral:snRNA from 1 species
AUCGCUUCUCGGCCUUUUGGCUAAGAUCAAAGUAUAGUAAAAGUACUUCGAUUUUUAAUUACGGUCGUUAGACAAAAGAUAUUUUAAACGAUUUGUGAAACAUUUUAGCAAUACAAUACUGAAGCUGCGUGUAACGCGUCCAUUUUCUUGCAUAACUCCGGAAAGUUACGUAACGUGA